GGGACCAGGCGACCUCCUAAAUCAAAGUUGGGCGGCGAGGACUGGGCGGAGGGGCCGCCGGGUGCCGGGCUGGGUCCGGCGGGGGAGGGGAGGGGAUGGGGGGCGGGCGCAGAGGACGGCGGAACCGGCCGGACACGGACAGCUCCUUGGCUCCCUCCCUCGGCUCAUCCCCGCCACCCCACUUCCCUCCUCCCCGCGCUGCGAGCAGCAUCCUCUGCAGACCCUCGGUCCUCGCGCCCGGGGUCGUCCCGCUCCUGCGGCUCGGCGUGGUCGCCUCGCCUCGCCCGCCACCCCGGCAACUUUCUCCGCCUGAGCCCGCGGGUUGGGGGCUGCGGUGCCCGAGGCUAACUGGGGGCAGCCUCUGGAGAAGGGCUUCGGAGUCCCGGAAACGCCCGCCACCCGCAGCCUGCCCGCGGCGGGCCUGCCGUCGGAUCUCGGCACCCUCUCCUCCCCUCUCCCCGAACCAUGACCGAGAUGAGCGAGAAGGAGAACGAACCGGAUGACGCGGCCACUCACAGUCCUCCAGGGACCGUCUCCGCCCUCCAGGAAACCAAGCUCCAGCGAUUCAAGCGUUCCCUCUCCCUCAAGACCAUCCUCCGAAGUAAGAGCGUGGAGAACUUCUUCCUUCGCUCGGGCUCUGAGCUCAAGUGCCCCACCGAGGUGCUGCUGACACCCCCAACCCCACUGCCCCCUCCCUCCCCACCACCCACAGCCUCGGACAGGGGCCUGCCCACCCCAUCCCCCUCCCCAUGCCCAGUCCCACGCCCCCUGGCGGCGCUCAAACCAGUGAGGCUGCACAGCUUCCAGGAACAUGUCUUCAAGCGAGCCAGCCCUUGUGAGCUGUGCCAUCAGCUCAUUGUCGGAAACUCCAAGCAGGGCUUGCGAUGUAAGACGUGCAAAGUCAGCGUCCACCUCUGGUGCUCUGAGGAGAUCUCCCACCAGCAAUGCCCAGGGAAGACGUCCACCUCCUUCCGCCGCAACUUCAGCUCCCCUCUCCUGGUACAUGAGCCGCCACCAGCCUGUGCCACAAGCAAAGAGUCCCCACCCACUGGGGCCAGUGGGAAGGUGGACCCUGUCUAUGAGACCCUGCGCUAUGGCACCUCCCUGGCACUGAUGAACCGCUCCAGUUUCAGCAGCACCUCUGAGUCCCCGACAAGAAGCCUGAGUGAGCGGGAUGAGCUGACCGAGGAUGGGGAAGGCAGCAUCCGCAGCUCUGAGGAGGGGCCUGGUGACAGUGCAUCUCCAGUAUUCACAGCCCCAGCAGAGAGUGAAGGGCCAGGACCAGAGGAGAAGAGUCCUGGACAGCAGGUGAGCCUGUACGGGCACUGGCCUGGAAGGCCAGGGUGGGAACCCCCCAAAGCCGCCCUGCGGAAGGAUGUGGGGCCCAUGUACUCCUAUGUCGCACUCUACAAGUUUCUGCCCCAGGAGAACAAUGAUCUGGCUCUGCACUCUGUCCUCCCCAGGCCUGGAGAUCGGAUCAUGCUGGUGGAUGACUCUAACGAGGACUGGUGGAAGGGCAAGAUCGGCGACCGGGUUGGCUUCUUCCCAGCUAAUUUUGUGCAGCGGGUGAGGCCAGGCGAGAAUGUUUGGCGCUGCUGCCAACCCUUCUCCGGGAACAAGGAACAGGGUUACAUGAGCCUCAAGGAGAACCAGAUCUGUGUGGGCGUGGGCAGAAGCAAGGAUGCUGACGGCUUCAUCCGCGUCAGCAGUGGCAAGAAGCGGGGCCUGGUGCCAGUCGACGCCCUGACCGAGAUCUGAGAGGAGCCAAGGGAACCCAGAUGCCACCCUCGCCCAUGCCUGGACCUUGCUUCUGGCCAGGAAGGGGAUCAGGCCCCCUUGUCCACUCCAUACCCUUCCUCCCUCUUUCUCUCUCCUAAGUGCCACUUACUGUGGCUUAGGAGCCUUCCGUACUGAGGAAGAUUUUAUUUCUUGGGUGGGGUGCCCUGAGUGGGUUGAUCCUCUGGGACUUGGCAGGGAUGGGGUGGGGUGGAAGGGAAUGAGGAAGCUACAGGUAGGUCCACCCAGCUCCCAGGCACCCCAGUCCACUUGCCGGGCUGAGUCCAGCCCUGAGGAAGGUUCCUGGGGAAUUUCUUUGCUGCUUCUCCCAGCCUUCCCCUGCCAACACACCCUGCACAUGCCUGGCACACCCCUCUCCCCACAGAGCCUCUGCUUGGGUCUAUGUGUGUGUGACCGUGCAUCUGCUCCUUUGCAAGUAGGGUCUUGGGAGCAGGCCUUUUUGUGUCCUCGGCCCUCCACCCUAGGUGGGGAGGGGACCCAGGGCCAUAGGAAGGUCCUGAGUCUACCUCCUGGUCUCCACCUCUGUCAUUCCGUCAAUUCUCAGGAAAGUUUUGCAGGAAUCGCUCCCAUUACUUGAAACCUGGGCCGACAGAGGAGGGGAAGGCUGAGGUCCCUGGAAGGUGUGACAAAUCAGAGACUGUCCCUUCAAGUAGAAAACCCAAGAGCUGGCCGGGUGUGGAGGCUCACGUCUGUAAUCCCAACACUUUGGGAGGCUGAGGCUCUGCAGGGGACAGGGCAGGUGCUGCAGGAGCCCCUUUGCUGGCUUUAUCUGCUCCCUUGUUCUGGACACAGAGCCCUGGGAAAAAGACGGGUGGAAGACAGACAAGGAAGGUGGAAUGUUCUAUUUGGCCACCAGGAAAUGGGGUGGGUGGGCAUACACAGAGAGGACCCCUCUCUUAAUACAGGCUGCUUUUCUCGGUGCCAACCUCCCUCCCCCAAGCUCAGAUCCUCCUCUUAUGCCCUUGAUUGUGCCAGCCCAUGCCACCCCCGUCCUGGGCACAGUUACACCCUCCCAUGCAGUGGGAGAGACACAGACCCUCCUACCCAAAGGCCCCUGCCCCACUUCUCCCCCGCAAAGCGGGGUCUCAAGCCACACUGCCCUGUUUGCUGCCAUGAGGCCCCCCCAGCAAUAUCCCAGGGGCGGGCCCAAUGCCCACUGUACAUGAGGCUGCAUGAUGGGUCUGGGGCCUUGCUGAGCCCCUAGACACCUAAUUAAAUGUUUCUUGUCCCAGCCCA